rnacentral:ncRNA from 1 species
UUAUGGUUUAAAAAAUUUAUUUAUUAUUUAUUUUACAUAUAAAUUUUAGUGUUAGAUUUUAAUUAUUUUAAUAAUAAUUAAUUAUAUUUUGUAGUAAUUAGAAUUAAAAAUUUAAGAAAUUAAGAUUUAGUAAUAUAAUAAUUUAAUAACAAAUUUUGUGCCAGCAGUUGCGGUUAAACAAAUAUUGAUAUAAAUUUUUUUAGUAAUUAAUAAAUAAUUAUUAUUUAAUUAAAAUUAUAAAUUAUUAGGUGAAAUUUUAAUUUAAUAAAAAUUAAUUAGGAUUUAUGAUUUAAUAAAUUUUUAUUUAAAACUAGGAUUAGAUACCCUAUUAUUGAAAUAAUAAAAUAAUAAUACUAAAAUAGUAGAUAAAUUUAUUUAUUGAAACUUAAAUAAUUUGGCGGUAUUUUAGUUCAUUUAGAGGAAUCUGUUUAAUAAUUGAUAAUCCACGAUUAAAUUUACUUAAUUUAUAAUUUUGUAUAUCGUUGUUAAAAAAAUAUUUUUUAAUAAUAUAUAAUAUUUUAAAUUUUAAAAAAAAAUUAAAUCAGAUCAAGAUGCAGAUUAUAAUUAAGAAUAUAAUGGAUUACAAUAAAUAUAUUUAGGUGAAUGUUAAUUUUUAAUAAUUGAUUGAAAUUGGAUUUAAAUGUAAUUUUAUUUAAUUUAAUAAAAUGAUUAAAAAUUAAAAUAUGUACAUAUUGCCCGUCGCUUUCAUAUAAAUAUAUAAAUUUAAAAAUUAUAUUUAAUAAAAUAUAAAUAAAAAUUGAAAUAAGUCGUAACAAAGUAGAGGUACUGGAAAGUGUUUCUAGAAAGAU